UUUCGCAAUGCCCGAAAGGGUGACGAAGCGACGCCGCGUGCGGGAAGAAGGCCCUCGGGUUGUAAACCGCUGUCGGGAGUUAAGAAAUGCAAGGGUGUUAACAGCGUCCUUGCUUGACUAAGGCUCCGGAGGAAGCCACGGCUAACUCUGUGCCAGCAGCCGCGGUAAUACAGAGGCGGCAAGCGUUGUUCGGAAUUAUUGGGCGUAAAGAGCACGUAGGCGGCUGUGUAAGUCGGUUGUGAAAGCCUUCCGCUCAACGGAAGAAGCGCAUCCGAUACUGCAUGGCUCGAGUGCGGGAGGGGAGAGUGGAACUUCUGGUGGAGCGGUGAAAUGCGUAGAUAUCAGAAGGAACACCGGCGGCGAAGGCGACUCUCUGGUCCGUAACUGACGCUGAGUGUGCGAAAGCUAGGGGAGCAAACGGGAUUAGAUACCCCGGUAGUCCUAGCCGUAAACGAUGGGCACUAAGUAGAGGGGUUUU
rnacentral:rRNA from 1 species